rnacentral:rRNA from 1 species
CCUACGGGAGGCAGCAGUGAGGAAUAUUGGUCAAUGGGCGGAAGUCUGAACCAGCCAAGUAGCGUGCAGGAUGACUGCCCUAUGGGUUGUAAACUUCUUUUAUAUGGGGAUAACAUGUUCCACGUGUGGAAUUUUGUAUGUACCAUAUGAAUAAGGGUCGGCUAACUCCGUGCCAGCAGCCGCGGUAAUACGGAGGGUCCGAGCGUUAUCCGGAUUUAUUGGGUUUAAAGGGAGCGUAGGUGGAUGGUUAAGUCAGUUGUGAAAGUUUGCGGCUCAACCGUACAAUUGCAGUUGAAACUGGCAGCCUUGAGUACAGUAGAGGUGGGCGGAAUUCGUGGUGUAGCGGUGAAAUGCUUAGAUAUCACGAAGAACUCCGAUUGCGAAGGCAGUUCACUGGACUGCAACUGACACUGAGGCUCGAAAGUGUGGGUAUCAAACAGGAUUAGAUACCCUAGUAGUC